rnacentral:lncRNA from 12 species
GCCCUUUGCACUGUUCCGUAUCAGUGAAUAAUCACAUCAUUUAUCCACAAACUUGUCUGAAAGACUCCAGUGGUCACUUUUCAUAAGGAGCCAAGUCUUCUUGGUGCACAGGCACAUGUGUGCUUUCCCCUCUGUCUCUUUCUGUCUCUUACCUUACCACCCUUCUCCUUUCCUCCCUCAGAUGCAGACCUGCAGUAAAGCAUCCUUUCACUUCUACUUCCUGGGACAUGAUCAUGGGGCCAGAACCCCUACAGGUGCUUGAGAGAUGUCUCCAUGUGAAGGAUUGAUUGCAAAGAAUAGGAGCACUGAACAUUUCCACCAGAAGAAGGAAAGUGGAGCAAGAGUGAGCAAACAUGGAUUGCAGAAGUAGAAAAAGAAAGGAAAUUGAGAAUCUGAGGUUGAAGAAAGAAGAGGGGACACCGAUUAAGCAUAAUUGAGCAGAGCAAGAGGAUAGAAUCAGAAAAUGGAAGAAGUAUGAAUUGCCAAGUCCAAUGACCCACAGUGGACUUUUUUAUUCCUGCUCCAUCAACCAUCAAGACCUCAGCAUCCCCCAAAUUCUGCCAUAUGAGUACUGCUCAUCUCUCUCACAAGAAAUGUUCAGUAGUCAACCUCAAGUGAUCCUUGGUUUUACCUAUGAUGUUGAAAUUAAUAACUUCCAAAUCUGUACUUCUAUCCUUGACCAGUAUCUUGAGCAUAUCAGACUUGGAGUAAAAUAACACCCAGGCUGAUAUUGAUGCUUAAUAAAUACUUGUGAAAAAAUAGAUCA